CCUACGGGUCGCACCAGUGGGGAAUAUUGCACAAUGGGCGCAAGCCUGAUGCAGCCAUGCCGCGUGUAUGAAGAAGGCCUUCGGGUUGUAAAGUACUUUCAGCGGGGAGGAAGGCGAUAAGGUUGAUAACCCUGUCGAUUGACGUUACCCGCAGAAGAAGCACCGGCUAACUCCGUGCCAGCAGCCGCGGUAAUACGGAGGGUGCAAGCGUUAAUCGGAAUUACUGGGCGUAAAGCGCACGCAGGCGGUCUGUCAAGUCGGAUGUGAAAUCCCCGGGCUCAACCUGGGAGCUGCAUUCGAAACUGGCAGGCUAGAGUCUUGUAGAGGGGGGUAGAAUUCCAGGUGUAGCGGUGGAAUGCGUAGAGAUCUGGAGGAAUACCGGUGGCGAGGGCGGCCCCCUGGACAAAGACUGACGCUCAGGUGCGAAAGCGUGGGGAGCAAACAGGAUUAGAUACCCGUGUAGUC
rnacentral:rRNA from 1 species